rnacentral:rRNA from 1 species
GAUGAACGCUGGCGGCGUGCUUAACACUUGCAAGUCGAACGGUGAAGCAGGAGCUUGCUCUUGUGGAUCAGUGGCGAACGGGUGAGUAACACGUGAGCAACCUGCCCCUGACUCUGGGAUAAGCGCUGGAAACGGCGUCUAAUACUGGAUAUGUGAUGUGACCGCAUGGUCUGCAUCUGGAAAGAAUUUCGGUUGGGGAUGGGCUCGCGGCCUAUCAGCUUGUUGGUGAGGUAAUGGCUCACCAAGGCGUCGACGGGUAGCCGGCCUGAGAGGGUGACCGGCCACACCGGGACCGAGACACGGCCCAGACUCCUACGGGAGGCAGCAGUGGGGAAUAUUGCACAAUGGGCGGAAGCCUGAAGCAGCAACGCCGCGUGAGGGAUGACGGCCUUCGGGUUGUAAACCUCUUUUAGCAGGGAAGAAGCGAAAGUGGCGGUACCUGCAGAAAAAGCACCGGCUAACUACGUGCCAGCCGCCGCAGUAA